rnacentral:lncRNA from 1 species
UGUCUCAAUUACGCGUGAAUCCUUAUUCAAUAUUGUCAACUAACCAGCCGUCUCAUACCCCGUCUAGUAUGAGUGCUAAAAAUAUCAUUCCUCAAUACUCCAUUCGGUAUGAGGGUGAAAUGGACCGUUCUCAUACUCCGUCCGGUAUGAAGCAACGUUCACGGUAGGGUUCCCUAUGUACCCGAUCCGUCCACCAUCUCUCAGGAUAUCCAGUAAGGCUACCAUUCAUUCAUUCACUUAAUCAAGCAAUUCCCCAUUUAUAUUUAAUUUCCAGUUUCAUAAUUUAACUGUAAAUUACGUAAGACAAGCAAUAUAUGCAUAAAGAAAAUACAACUGAAUCGUCUUACCAACUACAGCGUAUUAUCAUGCAUUUAAAACUGUAAAAUCAAUCAAUC